rnacentral:rRNA from 1 species
UAUUUGUAAGUUAGGAUUUUAAUUUCCUUUUGUAUAAGGAUUAUUUAAAAAUAAGAAACAUUUUCUAUAAAAGAAAGUUAAUUAUUUACUAAUUUUAUUGUUUAUUUGUGACACAAAUAAAAAAUAAAUAUGGUUAUUAUUAUAUGUAGAUAUAUUAACGGGAUAACUUUUUAUCUAAAAAUAUUUAGGGUUAAUCUUAAUACUGUGGAUGUCUGUGUUUUUAAAGUUAAAAUAGGAUUAGAAGUAUCCUAUUGUAAAUUUUUAUAAUAAAAAAUUUUAUGUUUGGAAUAAAAAUACGUUUUAUCAAAAAUUUUAGAAAAAUAUUUAUCUAGAAAAAGUAUAACUAAGUUAGUAGGACUGUAAAUUAUGUAAUUAGAAUUCGACAAUUAAUGUUAUAAUGUUUAUUAAAAACAUUUCAACAUAUUUUAUGUUGUAACUUCCUGCCCAAUGAUAAAUUUAAAUGGCCGCAGUAAUUUGACUGUGCUAAGGUAGCAUAAUCAUUUGUUUAGUAAUUUUAAACUAGAAUGAAAGGAAAAAAUAAUAUUAGUUAUUAAUUACUUACUAGUUUUAAUUCAUAUAAUAAAGUGAAAAUACUUUGUAUUAAUAUAUAAACGAGAAGACCCUAGAAACUUUUAUUUUAAUUGGGAUAAUUUGUCUUAAUAGAUUUAAUAAACUUUUAAUAAAAAAUUAAGUUACUCUAGGGAUAACAGCAUAAUAAUUAUGAAAAGAUCUAAUUUUGGUAAUUGAUUGUGACCUCGAUGUUGAAUCAUUUAUUUAUUGUAGCCUGCAAAAGGGUUGUUUGAUUAUCGUCUGUUCGACGAAUUAUGAUUUACGUGAUUUGAGUUUAAACCGUUGAAAAACAGGUUGGUUUCUCUUUUAUGUUAUUACGUUUAUUCAAAUUUAGUACGAAAGGAACAAUGUGAAGAUUUACUAAAAUCUAUAUGAAAAAAUAUUUGAUUAAU